GAUGAACGCUGGCGGCGUGCCUAAUACAUGCAAGUCGAGCGAACAGACGAGGAGCUUGCUCCUCUGACGUUAGCGGCGGACGGGUGAGUAACACGUGGAUAACCUACCUAUAAGACUGGGAUAACUUCGGGAAACCGGAGCUAAUACCGGAUAAUAUAUUGAACCGCAUGGUUCAAUAGUGAAAGACGGUUUUGCUGUCACUUAUAGAUGGAUCCGCGCCGCAUUAGCUAGUUGGUAAGGUAACGGCUUACCAAGGCAACGAUGCGUAGCCGACCUGAGAGGGUGAUCAGCCACACUGGAACUGAGACACGGUCCAGACUCCUACGGGAGGCAGCAGUGGGGAAUCUUCCGCAAUGGGCGAAAGCCUGACGGAGCAACGCCGCGUGAGUGAUGAAGGUCUUCGGAUCGUAAAACUCUGUUAUUAGGGAAGAACAAAUGUGUAAGUAACUAUGGACGUCUUGACGGUACCUAAUCAGAAAGCCACGGCUAACUACGUG
rnacentral:rRNA from 1 species